ACAACUCCAUUUCUAAAUGUACUGUGAAAUCCACCCUGGACUCACUGGCUGCCUGGGUGACCCCUCUGCCUUCUUCCUGCGGCUCUGAGUGGUGAGGGCCACCACCGAGCACCACUCAAGACGCUGAAAGCAUUCUACCCUUGAGAGUUACUGAGGAGAGGCACAAAGCACUCCAGCCUAUGGGACAAGACUCCUAACCCCAGGUCUCAGCUCCCUGGAUGGGCUCUGCAGAGCCUGAUAAGGACGGAAAUAUGUAGCCUGUGGUGAGUAGUAUUAGAUGCUUGUGUGUGUGUGUGUGUGUGUGUGUGUGUGUGUGUGUGUGUGUGUGUACAUGCACACACACUACUGUGAAGAGCUGGGAAUACAGUCCCAACAGUGUGAGUGUAGGUCAGGUCAGGUCAGUUCAGUUCAGCUCAGCGACAAACAAAUUAACAAUGGCCUAAGUACUAUAGACGGGUGUUUUUACAAGGCAAAAACGAGCACACAAAUUAUACACCAAGUGAGGAGGUGCUUCCAGAAACACACAGCAGCACUCAAUCUGAAACCCAGCCACACGGUGGGCUUUUUAUGCAAACUAAAGCACAAGGCUUGCUCUAACUACCAUAUCAUUCGAUGUUUGAUUUCCAAAUAUAAUUAACAGAUGUGAGAUACAAAACAAGGGCCUCAAGAGACAGUAUAUACUUUCUUUCUAGAGUUCCUGUCUUUCUCUACAAAGCACCGAGUUGCUGUAAAUGACAGAGUCGGAGGGAGACUGGGUUACAGCUCUUAUCUUGCUUCUCCAGACAGUGAACACUGAGAGUCACAGGCUAGGUGUGGUGGCCCACCCUUGUAAAGCCAGCGCCCAGCUAAGGCAGGCCUGGACCUCACAGAGAGGCCCUCUGAAGAUGCCGGGAGGCUAUAGUAGAGGGCAAAUCCUGCCGGGCUUCACGGCAUCCAGGAUCAGGUGCACUGAGCUCCACCACACUGCUGUGGGGUGCACACACUGUGAGCAACUACUCAGUGUGUAGGGCGUGCAGCUUUGGUUUCUGUUUGCACCUUAAACUUGACCCUGCAAUAUAAACAGCCUAUGGGACAGCGGCAGAUCUUUAUGGCAGAGGCAGGCGUGGACAUUCCCUGAGUCUCCUGAGCUGGAGACUGCAUGUGAGUCCCUGAGGUCUCUGUGUCUCCCAACCCUGCCUUCCUUACUGAAUGCAUUUACUCAGGGCCCACAGCUUUGAAACCUAUCAAACUGGAAAUACACUCGCUGCCUGAGGCCUGCCCCAAACCUCACUGACCUCUACAUCUAAACAGUGCCAUUGUUUUACACUGAAUUGUUUUCCAUCCAAGGGCAACAGGGUUUGCUUGGGCUCAAGUGCCCUCAGACACAGUCCAUCUUGGCAGGAAGUCAUGGUGGACGAAGCAGGAAAGGCAGGACACAUGGUAGCACUCACUUCACCCAAGCCCUGGGCUGGUCGGUCCCACACGUGAGGCGCUGCCACCAAGGCCUGUGACUGGGGUCCUGUACCAGAACGCCCAUCAGCUGGCUGCCAACAGGUGGUUCUCAGACACUGUCACAGUUCCACCCUGCCCACUGUCUUGUCUCAUGGCUGACAUUUAAAGAGCUCUGCCUCAAGGACGCACGGCAGCUUCCUGGCAGUACUGGGUGCCACGGGAUGACAGGUCGCUGGGAUUACUUUUGUUGCUGUUACUGUUGCUUGCUGGGAGCUUUUUUAUUUUGUUUUGUUUUAGCCCAGGUGCGUCCGGAACUUCAGCUGUAGCUCAAGCUAGCCUCAAACUUGCAGAGUUACUCCUGCGUUAAUCUCCAGUGCCGGAACUGCAGGUGAGAGGUCUGUUAGAGCUGAAUCUUCCUAGGGAGUAAAGUUCUUUCUUACUGUAACUCCAUACCUUACACACUGUAAUGAACCAUGGGGAUUGUCCAAACAUGGCUUAUUUACUUCCCACUUAGUGUUCAAGACCUCACUACUUGGCGACAGUCAGGUAGGAACUCUUGAAAAUUAGGGAACCAGUCUAGACAGUAAUCAAAUUCAAGGCCAAGUGUUGCAUGGAAGCCACCCUAAAUCGAGCUAGGAAGCUGGGACUCAGUUCACAGAUCGACAUCAAAAACAAAGAACAAUAAGAAGAAAAGAAAACAAAACAAACAAAAAAACCAAGCUAGCAAUCCUUCCAGUCAGGGAGUCAGGAGAGAUGGCUGUGCUCCCAAGGUGGGAGCCCUGCAAGCAUGAAGUCCUUCGUUUGAGCCCCCAGAGCCCAUGACACAGAGAUGGGCGCAGCAGCACAUGUGCCUGUAACCUCAGCUCUGGGGACAGAGCUAGGAGAGUCCCUGGGGUUUGCUGGCCGGCCAGGCUGGCUCCAGGUUCCGUAAGGAAACUGGGUAGAGCGACUGAGGAAGACACUUAGCGUAGACCUCUGGUGUUCACACCCUCGGGCACUUUUGCCUAUGCACCUCUGGUGCUCACACACACAGGCACGCACACCCAUGCCUGUGCCCCUCCCCAAAAUUACAGUUUAUCAAAGCAAAAAGAAAAAAGAAAAAAAGAAAGGAAACAUGUAUUAAAAUUGCCUGCCCUGUCCACUUCCAAAAGGUGCUGUCUACAGUGAGACGCUUAAGCGCAUCACACUGCCGUGGUUUUCCUGGUUCCCAGUAGAAUUUCGGUGUGGAGUAGUUCCCAGAGUCACAUAGCAGGCUCUGUGAUUCUGGCCUAGGUGUGUCACAUGCUAGGGUUUUCUCCCAUCUUCCAGUCAGGGGAUCUCAGCAUGGAAACAGAGCCUCAGGAGAGGACAGCAAAGAUCGGAAACAGCAGACAAUAGCUUGGGCACACAGAGCAGCGGAGUGGGCUCACUGGCAUCUGGAUGCAGCCUCAGGGAGGUGACAAAAGCCCCCACUCUCAGUUUCCUUGGCUCCGAAGUCCACGCUGCGUCAUGGGUUUACUGAGAAGAUCAAAUGGUCUGUAACUGCUGAGACGACUUACUUCCUAUAGAAGUGCCAGGCUCAGCUGCGUAUGGAUUAUAGAUGAAUGUGCACCCACCCUGUCAGGGGUCUUCUGUCCCGUUUGUCACAGAAGUACUUUUCUGAGCAACACAGGAAACAGCAAGCAUGAGAAGAACGCAGGAAUGGCACAUGCAGGGUAUUCCCCACGGUGAGGAGGAAGCAGCAUUUGCAGAGCUGUGGGCUACAGCACUCCAUACUCCGUGAGUAUUUUCCAUAAAUAAUCCUACUUAACCAAUACAGACGCCCGAUGAUGUAAUUGAUGAUGUAAUUACCCCUGUUUCACAGAUCAAGUUAGGGUACCGAGAGGGUAAGUAAGUUACCCACAGGCACAGAGUUAGCAUGUGGUGGGUCCAGGACAGCACCUCAGUUUCUAAAGUCAGCCUCUGAACCCAUGACCCUCAGCAUAGCUUGUCCCACCGACAGCUACCCGCUCACUGCACAAGCAUGUACAGUCCACGGGACGGACUCACACCUCUGAUGUCAGUAUACACAGACAGUAUUUACUGGGCCACUGGUACUCCCUGCCACUUACUUUUGACCAAACGUGUCUCUGGUAUCUAGCCACCUCAACUACACCAGGAUCUAGUUUGUCUACGCACAGUGUAUUUUUUUUACCCUGGAUCGCUGAAACAUUUGCUGAUCCAGCCUCCUAACAGAACAGGGUCCCAUCUUGUCGUUCUCCCCCACCACAAGGUGUCACAGACACCUUACACGUGUAUCUUAUGUGGGACCCUCGAGGCCUGGUGGGGAGGGCAAAGGCUUUGGGCUAAACCUCUUCCUGCCUUUGUGAAUAAAGUUUUAUUGAAUUCAGCUUGCUCACUGAUUAUACAGCAUCCGAGUCUACUUUCCGCCUCCAACAACAGAGAAACAGAAGCAAUGGUGACCCAGGAGCCCACAGUCCACCUGGCCCUUCACAGAGGAAGCUGUCUCCACCUCAGACUAUCUCUCUGGGAGAAGGGAAACAGAUCUGUGCAUCUCCAACACUGACUGUUACAAUUCCAAAGUGCUGGUGCCAGAUGCCCACAGCACAUGGCUGGGCCCACAGGGGCGCACCAGAGUAGUAAGUACCUAAUUAUUUCCUUGGAUGUUCGGACACUGCUUCAUAAACUCUUGCAGGCUGUGGGGAAAGGACUGGGAGGAGCUGAAGAAAACAGAGUUCACAGGUGAGGCACAGCAGGGUUCAAAGAAGGGCUUUAAUAUACAUGAGAGCCAGAUGGAAAAGCCUGGGACACAAAAACCAGCAACCAGCAGGGAGAUCACCAUGUCCAAAGUGACAGCUAGGCCAGGUACUCUGACCUUGUUACAUAACACAACACACACACAACACACACACACAACACACACACACACAACACACACACACACAACACACACACACAACACACACACACACAACACACACGGCAAUGCCGCCUAGGCUUCUGCAUCGAAAGUUUACAAGUUGUAAGAACAAGAAAACAUGGGGUAACGGUUAUGCAUUCAAAAACGUUCAGCCCCCUACCUACCCUGGCAGACACUGCUCCUGUUCUAAAGAACACGUAGAGGUGGGCAUGGGACUAUCAGUGAGAGCGGUCACAGAGAAGUCUGUGCCGUGACCGUGAAUAACACCAGCCUCGCCUUAGCAUAGUAACCAGUCACAGAAAGCCUGCCCUGCUCAAGCAGCAAUGUCAGCAGCACAGGCUACUGUGCAAGCCAGGCCCCUGGCCUCCGAGCGGGAGAUGCUAUGUGCAGACAGGUAGGAUCUCACAAUGUCAGCAGCCACAGGAUCCAUUGCCCAGGGAACCACGAAGCAGCACUGUGCCCUGGGUUCCUCAAGAGCCCGGUGGCUGUGGCCUGUGUGUACCUCCAGGUGAUAAAAGUGAGGACCGGAAGGCUUCUCAGCAUCGCUCGUCCUGGAUCCUGGGUGAGAACCAGAGCCCUUUGAAAACUCUGGCAUGAGGGAAAAGGACAAGGACGGACCGCUGUCACAGCAGCCACACUGCAGUGGGACAGUUACACUCACAGGGGAGCGGAAAGUCUAAGCCAAAGAUCCUCAGGCCCCAUGUUAAACGAGAUAUCCUCAACGCAGCUGUCUGCUAAGAGCCCCGCUAGCAGGGCAACACGCUACCGCAGGUAGGUCCCAGCUCAGAGGCCGAAGAGUAGCCCCUUAUCUUCCCCUGCAGGGAGCCACCUCUGACCCAAAGCUACUGCAUGCCCUGAGCCAGAUAACCCCAGAGCCUCACAAGCAGCCAAAUGUUAGCUGAGGAGGAAAACGCAGGGUUCAGAGCACAAUGCCUGGCUUGCCAUCAUUCCUGUUAGCACUCAUUACCUCGCCUCCCUUUCUCUGCUUUACCGCCCAUCAACACUAUCACAGGGAACAAGUGUGGGGUUAGCCACUUAACAACAUGGAGGAAAAGUGCUUUGGAAGCCAUCAGAUUCAAUAAUAAAGUUGCUGCCACGUGGUGGGUGCCUUCUGUGCCAGAGAGGAUGACAUUAUUAUAUACAGUAGAGAAGGGGGUGGGGGGUUCCCACAAUGCAGUGCAGCCUGACUUUGAACUGGUGGUCCCCCUGCCUCCGCCUGAAGAGAGCUGGGUUAUGGAAGUGAGUUACUAUACCCGGCUGUAAUUCUUAUUUUCUCUCGUUUCCUCGUGGACUCUGCCAGGUUCGGUGUCAUAAUCUUCAUUAUACUGAGAAGGCAGUAUAAUGAAGUAGUAUUACAGUAGGCUGUGCUGCAGACCCACCACAGAUGAUUCCAAGCCAAACCUGCUCUCCACGGCCCCAGCCUCAUCAAGAAGAAUGACCAUACGACGAACAACUAUAAUCAGUAAUUGCAAAUGUUGCAUACUCCAUUCUAACACAGACAAGUCUCCUCUCAGCACAGUGACCAACCCAGAGCACUAAAUCACAAGCACAAGACGGAGAGAAAGGCGCCUGCCUGGUACUGUGUAUAAAGGAUUCCAACUAGACGUCAGGACGCAGUCGCUUUGCCUUGGGGCCAGUAAAAAGCUGUUCUGCUCUCUGCCCUUUGGGCCCAACCUGGCCGCAGUUUGCUAAUCUGGUCGGGGGUCAGAAGUUUUCUUAGUGGCUUCCUCUUUCCGCUGAGCCUCUACCAUGUCUUAGUCUCCACACACUGUUCUUUGAUGCUACAGUAUCUAAAAAACAAACUUCGUGUCUUUCCCAACGUGAGUCCGGCUAGACUAUGGUGAAACCUUCUCUCCAGCAAGAAGACAGUCCCUGACCCUCGGGGCCUUAAACAUUAUUAGUCAGCCUCUGACCUCGUUAGGCACACACAGGCAAGCCUGAAACCUCUUCCCUACAUACGUAGUAGCAUCAGUCCCUCACCUAGCAAGUACGCUGCUGGCUUCCAAGCCCUCAAAUUGUCCCCAAGGGUAUUCGCAGUGAGUCCCCCUCUCAGCCAGCCACUCCCCAGUCGACCUGCUCAGAGGGGAUCAUGAUGCCGACUACCCCCUCUCCUAUGCAGUCAGAAACAUCUCGCCCCGAGGUGGGCCGAGGCGAACCCUCCGCCCAUGUGGCUACACAACCAGGGAAGGCCCUUGCUCCUCGGGAUCUGCUCAAGUUCACCGCGCCCUCGCAAUCGGAUCCCACGGGCCUGACC